rnacentral:rRNA from 1 species
UGCAGUCGAACGGUAGAGGGGGCAACCCCUCGAGAGUGGCGAACGGGCUUGUAAUAUAUCGGAACGUGCCCAGUCGUGGGGGAUAAUGUAGCGAAAGUUACGCUAAUACCGCAUACGAUCUACGGAUGAAAGCGGGGGAUCGCAAGACCUCGCGCGAUUGGAGCGGCCGAUAUCAGAUUAGGUAGUUGGUGGGGUAAAGGCUCACCAAGCCAACGAUCUGUAGCUGGUCUGAGAGGACGACCAGCCACACUGGAACUGAGACACGGUCCAGACUCCUACGGGAGGCAGCAGUGGGGAAUUUUGGACAAUGGGGGAAACCCUGAUCCAGCAAUGCCGCGUGUGUGAAGAAGGCCUUCGAGUUGUAAAGCACUUUUGUCAGGAACGAAACGGUGGGGGCUAAUACCUCCUGCUAAUGACGGUACCUGAAGAAUAAGCACCGGCUAACUACGUGCCAGCAGCCGCGGUAAUACGUAGGGUGCGAGCGUUAAUCGGAAUUACUGGGCGUAAAGCGUGCGCAGGCGGUUGUGCAAGACAGAUGUGAAAUCCCCGGGCUUAACCUGGGAAUUGCAUUUGUGACUGCACGGCUAGAGUGUGUCAGAGGGGGGUAGAAUUCCACGUGUAGCAGUGAAAUGCGUAGAUAUGUGGAGGAAUACCGAUGGCGAAGGCAGCCCCCUGGGAUAACACUGACGCUCAUGCACGAAAGCGUGGGGAGCAAACAGGAUUAGAUACCCUGGUAGUCCACGCCCUAAACGAUGUCUACUAGUUGUCGGGUCUUAAUUGACUUGGUAACGCAGCUAACGCGUGAAGUAGACCGCCUGGGGAGUACGGUCGCAAGAUUAAAACUCAAAGGAAUUGACGGGGACCCGCACAAGCGGUGGAUGAUGUGGAUUAAUUCGAUGCAACGCGAAAAACCUUACCU